rnacentral:rRNA from 1 species
CCUACGGGUGGCAGCAGUAGGGAAUUUUGCGCAAUGGGCGAAAGCCUGACGCAGCAACGCCGCGUGAUUGAAUAAGCCCCUCGGCGUGUAAAGAUCUGUCAGCGGGGACGAAACUUGACGUUACUCACAGAGGAAGCACCGCUAAACUCCGUGCCAGCACCUGCGGUAAUACGGAGGGGGCAAGCGUUGUCCGGAUUCAUUGGGCGUAAGGAGUUCGUAGGUGGCAUAGUAAGCCUGGUGUUAAAGGCAGAGGCUCAACUUCUGUUCGGCACUGGAUACUGGUAAGCUUGAAUGCGGUAGGGGUAGAGGGAAGUCCUGGUGUAGCGGUGAAAUGCGUAGAUAUCAGGAGGAACAUCGGUGGCGUAGGCGCUUUGCUGGGCCGUAAUUGACGCUGAGGAACGAAAGCCGGGGGAGCAAAUGGGAUUAGAUACCCGAGUAGUC